UAAAGCAGGAAGGUGAAUUCACAUUUCAUUUGAAUUUGAGUUUCAACCAACCUUUACAUUUCUAACUAACAGUUCAUUUCAUUGUGAAUUUCAUUUGAAUCUCUAACAAACUCUGCAACUCUAUAUAAACAAUAACUCACUGCAUUUUCAGCAUCCAUGAACAUUCAAUCUUCACUUUGCAUCGCCAUCAUCAUCAAAAUCAACCCCUCAGAACCACUCUCACGCUCAGAACCUCACAUAACCUCUCAAUCCGCAUGCAACGAAUGCAACAACAACACACGCAAUACAAAAAGCGGAGGGAGAAGAAACAUAAGCAAUUCAAAGAAGAUUGAAACAGAAGUGAGAAGAAGUAGAGGUAUACGCAGAGCAAGGCAUAGAUAAUCGAUACAUGUUCGUGCCACGUAGCUUGAGCUCAAAUUCCGGUAACGAGCAGUGAUUGAGUAGGAGCUAGUGCUUGGAGUCUAGUGUAGUUCCUUAGUGGGUCAUGCUCUGGUAGAUGUAACAUCGGGAUGGGAUGUUUUAAAUGUUUUAUUGUUGGUUGUGAACCAUUUUACAUGUAAUGUGUUACAUGUUUUGCAUGAUUGAUUAAAUCUCUAUCCGCUGCGUAUUGUGCAAAUGUUUUAUUUGAUAAAUAAAUGAGCAUGACAAGCUACUUUGAUGAA